rnacentral:rRNA from 1 species
UACGGAGGGUGCAAACGUUGCUCGGAAUCAUUGGGCGUAAAGCGCACGUAGGCGGCCUGUUAAGUCGGGUGUGAGAUCCCUCGGCUCAACCGAGGAAGUGCAUUCGAAACUGGCAGGCUUGAAUGUGGAAGAGGGUCGUGGAAUUCCCGGUGUAGAGGUGAAAUUCGUAGAUAUCGGGAGGAACACCAGUGGCGAAGGCGGCGACCUGGGCCAACAUUGACGCUGAGGUGCGAAAGCGUGGGGAGCAAACAGG